rnacentral:sRNA from 1 species
CCCAGAGGUAUUGAUUGGUGAGAAUUCUGUGUACGCUGUGCGUACAACUCUUCUUGCACCGACCUGCGCAGAAGCGCAGGUUUUUUUU